CUGAUGACGAUGAGUACGGCGCCGGCGAGGAGUUCGCGGUACCCGGGGGAGGGGCACGGAAGGGCGCCCGGGGAAAGAACGCUAAGCAGAUCACCUGGGUGCUCCUCCUGAAGGCGCACCGCGCCGCCGGUUGCCUCACCUACCUCGCCUCCGCCGCCGUCGGCCUCGCGUCCGCCGUGCGCCGCCGCGUCGUGUCCGGGAGGACGGACUCCGACGCCGCGUCCUCCUUGCCGGAGGAGAGCCCCGUGCUGCGCUCGCGGUUCUACUCCUGCAUCAAGGUCUUCCUCUGGCUAUCCGUCGUUCUACUCGGGUUCGAGUUCGCCGCGUACUUGAAAGGCUGGCAUUUGAGCGCCGUGGAGAUGCACCGGUUGGUUCUGCCUUCGUCCCUUGGAGUCCGGGGGCUCUUAGAGUCGCUGUACACCGGAUGGGUGCGGUUCCGGGUGGAGUACAUCGCACCGCCGCUUCAGUUCCUCACGGACGCCUGCGUCAUCCUCUUCCUCAUCCAGAGUGCCGAUCGCCUCAUCCUCUGCCUCGGCUGCUUCUGGAUCCGCUUCAAAGGGAUCGAGCCCCUGCCGAAGCGCUCCAUUGG
rnacentral:lncRNA from 1 species